rnacentral:rRNA from 1 species
GACGAACGCUGGCGGCGUGCCUAAUACAUGCAAGUCGAGCGAAGUUUUUCUGGUGCUUGCACUAGAAAAACUUAGCGGCGAACGGGUGAGUAACACGUAAAGAACCUGCCCCAUAGACUGGGACAACUAUUGGAAACGAUAGCUAAUACCGGAUAACAGUAUUUCUCGCAUGAGAGAUAUUUAAAAGUUGGUUAUGCUAACACUAUGAGAUGGCUUUGCGGUGCAUUAGCUAGUUGGUGGGGUAAAGGCCCACCAAGGCGACGAUACAUAGCCGACCUGAGAGGGUGAUCGGCCACACUGGGACUGAGACACGGCCCAGACUCCUACGGGAGGCAGCAGUAGGGAAUCUUCCGCAAUGGGCGAAAGCCUGACGGAGCAACGCCGCGUGAGUGAAGAAGGAUUUCGGUUCGUAAAGCUCUGUUGUUAGGGAAGAAUGGAUAUGUAGUAACUAUACAUGUAAGAGACGGUACCUAACCAGAAAGCCACGGCUAACUACGUG